rnacentral:rRNA from 1 species
GAUCAUGGCUCAGGAUGAACGCUGGCGGCGUGCCUAACACAUGCAAGUCGAACGGAGUUCUUAAGGAAUGCGACUUCGGUCAAAUGACUUUUGAACUUAGUGGCGGACGGGUGAGUAACGCGUGAGCAACCUGCCUUUCAGAGGGGGAUAACAUUUGGAAACAGAUGCUAAUACCGCAUAAGAUUACAGUACCGCAUGAUACAGUGAUCAAAGGAGCAAUCCGCUGAAAGAUGGGCUCGCGUCCGAUUAGAUAGUUGGUGAGGUAACGGCUCACCAAGUCGACGAUCGGUAGCCGGACUGAGAGGUUGAACGGCCACAUUGGGACUGAGACACGGCCCAGACUCCUACGGGAGGCAGCAGUGGGGAAUAUUGCACAAUGGGCGAAAGCCUGAUGCAGCAACGCCGCGUGAGGGAAGACGGUUUUCGGAUUGUAAACCUCUGUUUUCGGUGACGAACAAAUGACGGUAACCGAGUAGGAAGCCACGGCUAACUACGUG